CGUACCUGGACGUCCAGGAGACACGGACACGAGUUGAGUCCUUGUGAUAGCAGAGGCUGCUAUCUGUUCUUGAACUGAACUGUGUCUCAGCGAUGUCCUGACGACCUACUACAAACUUUCAUCCCCAUCCCCAUCACACCUGCGGUGACCAUCACCUGGAAAAUAACUCUGUUGCAACUUCCUACUUAAAACCAACUGAGCCACGAUGUCACUGGUAUUGUUUGUAAUGUUGUUGUGCCAUCAUUUACAUGGGGAAAUUGUUAAUUUGACAGACAUAACGUAGUUCACAAAGAUAACACCUUCUUACAAACUGCCCAUGGGUUAGCUAAGACUAAAGGGAUUCAGUCUUGUUGGGUUGGUGGGCUUAUGCCAUUUUCAUCUCAGGUAUAUCGGUACCUCGCUGUCCCGUUCCCGAACAUAUUGCAGCUUACAAGUAUGUCAUCCAAUUAAGAUGUCGUCCCCAAAUUAAGAUUAAAUUGUGCUAUUCUCCUAAGCGUGUCAUUUUUUGGUCUGAUGAAGGAAAGGUUGCAGGUUGCGGGUAAGAGUGUGGGUUCACGGCAACAGGUUGCCAUAUCAGGAAAGGAACUGUUGGUAAAUGUACUGAUGCCUUGCCUGCAGGAAAUGGGACCAUGUUUGUGUGUGGACAGAAUGCUUAUUCAUAUCUGCCUCCUGAUUGCCAUGGUUCAUGUUAUGUCGCCUAUUGGAGAUUGUGACAUACGAACAAUCGCCUAUUGGAGAUUGUGGCAUACGAACAUUUGAAGGGUAAUGCUACCAUUAGAUCUAAGCCUAAUUUAUUCCAACAGAACUUUCAAGGUUUUACUAGACAUUAUUUGCUGAUAUCAUUACAAACUAUGGUGUCACAGUUGUCCUUGAUGAGAUUAGAGAUUUAGUCAAAUCAUCAACGCUAUAGCAAACGCUUCAGGCCUUGGUCUGACUGUCAUUAAUAUGAUAAAGUGGCCAUUGGGUGGAUGGCUAAGUGCAUUGGGUGGGUCUACAUUUUCAAAGAUAGUCCAAAUCAUAAUUUGUCCUUCCAAUAAUUAUGCUCGAUGUGGACAUCAAGUUAUCCCUCUAUGUGUUUCCCCGAUUCACCGCCCCCCUACCGACCCCCCCGGGGACUGCCGCAUUAUUGUUGGCUUCCCUUAGGUUCGCUGUGUUAGAGAGCCUACCCCAUCCCAAGGUAUGGUGCCCUAAACGUCACAAAGUUGCUAAGGCUAAGACUGCAUCUAGGCCCUGUAAUUUUGCUUUGACUAAAAUAACCACUUUUCUGCUGAGAACAGUCAGCAAGCAGAGGGAGGUGUCCGGACAGUCGAUUUCCUUAUUUUUCAAUUAUAAUCUGUUUUGGUUUAAUCAUGAAAAACCUAAUGAGUGCGUUAUUUUUAAGUAGCCUACACCUGGUUGACUUGUUUAUGAUAUGUAUACUUUUAGGUUUACUAUUGCCUUUUAUGCCUUCUGUUGUUGAUUUAGUUAAUUGUUUAUUGCUUACAAGUAGAUCAACUGUAUUCUCAUUCAAAGGGUGAUCUUUAAACUAUGUUUAAUAUGAUCGAAGAAGACGGAGAAAUUUAAAAUGUUGCUGUUCUUUUGUGUCUCUCUGUGAUCGCAUUUCUUAGUCUGGGAACAGGGCAGUGCUUCUCCUACUGACACCAGGUGUUAUUUCAAACAAUCCUCCAUUUGUUUUUGUCCCAAUCAGGACAAACCAACCAGGUGGUCUGGGACAUACCCAAGGCCAUAUACCUUAUCAAGGGAGACAUUGCAUCUGUUAUUUUGUUCUUCACGAUUUCUUUCCUAUAAUACUCACCCCAAACCUACCUGUUCUUUCAUAAACCAUCUAUUCAACCCUCUGAUCCAACCGGUUCAAGUUGCCUUGAUUUCCACUUCAAGAAUAACUACUACACUCCAAAGCAACCAUGGCUUUUCUAAUAAGGGUACUGCAAUUGGCUCUACUACUUGCUGUGGGUUCUCAAGUACAUGCUUACAGGCUCGUGCUUGCUGGGCCCCAGCAGCACCAGCAGUCUCCUAGCUACGAGCAGCACCAGCUGCUCGUAGCUAGACCAGCCGCUGCAGCCACAGCCGCCACUCCAGCAACAGCGGCCACUCCGGCAACAGCGGCCACUCCGGCCA